GCUCCAGAACUCAAUUGCAGAAGAGGGGCAAAGGGGGAAAAGGCAGCACGAUUUAUUAUCUUGUACAUGCCAGGGCAGGCCUUUAAUUUUGUCUUCAUGUUCUACACACAGAAAAGAGAAGAUCCAGGCCAGGCACGGUGGCUCAUGCCUGUAAUCAUAACACUCUGGGAGGCUGAGGUGGGCAGAUCACCUGAAGUCAGGGGUUCGAGACCAGCCUGGCCAACAGGGCAAAACCCCAUCUCUAGUAAAAAUACUAAAAUUAACUGGGCAUGGUGGCAGGUGCCAGUAAUCCCAGCUACUCAGGGCACUCCAGCCUGGGCAACAGAGUGAGACUCCAUCUCAAAAAAAAGAAAAGAAAAGAAAACAGAAGAUCCAGAAACAAUGAGCCCUCUAUUUCCAUAGAUAACUAGGAAGAGAAUAGCAGCCACUCACUUUAGACAGGACUGCUCACCACUGCCAAUUUUUCUCCUACGCUGGGGACAAAUGUCUUACCAUUUAUCAUCACACUUGCACUGUCAUUUUAUUAAAAAUGGAAAAAAAGAUACAUCU
rnacentral:lncRNA from 10 species